rnacentral:misc_RNA from 1 species
AGACAGGCACCACACACGUGAUAUUUGCUGUGACGCAGGGGCCUCUACACCCUGGACAACAAUUACCGUCCUCCGUCAAAGUUGGUCUACAGAGGGUCCAGCUGCUGAAGCCCGACCUACCACAGCCAGACAUCCCCCCAGAUACCUGGUCCUUUGACAUCUUGAACCCAAACAUAACCAUUCCGGCCCGAGACACAACGUAUUGGUGGUAUGUCACCCAGCUCCCACAACUCCCCAUCAAAAACCAUGUCAUUCAGUAUGAAGGGAUAAUAACGAAAGGAAACGAAGAAUUUGUUCACCAUAUUGAAGUGUUUCAUUGCCAAGUGGACCCUUGGGUAAAAGUGACGUCAUACAACGGCCCGGGCAUGGCUGAGGACAAAUCUCCUGAACUAGAGGCGUGUCGGGAAGUUAUCGGUGCCUGGGCAAUGGGCGCAUCGGCCAUCUAUCUACCCAACGAGGCGGGGACAGCUAUUGGUGGACCGCAUUUAUCACGUUACGUUCUUCUGGAGGUCCAUCUCAACAACCCAAAACUGAAAACAGGAGUGAAGGAUUCGUCGGGGAUACGGUUUCGUGUGACCAGACACUUGCGGCCUUACGACUCGGGGAUCAUGGAGUUAGGGCUGGAGUACACCAAUAAAAUGGCGAUACCCCCGGGCCAGAGCGCAUUCACACUUCCGGGAUAUUGCAUUCCAGAGUGUACCAGCAUAGCUUUGCCUCCGAGUGGGAUCCGAAUUUACGCUUCCCAGCUCCAUACUCACCUGACCGGGAAAAAGGUCUUUACAAAACACUUCCGGGCCGGGAUCGAGCUUCCGGAACUCAACAGAGAUAACCAUUACAGUCCACACUUCCAGGAAAUCCGGACCCUACCUCGCCACGUGCACGUGCUUCCAGGUGAUGCCCUUGUGACGUCUUGUGUGGACAGCACCGCUAAUAGAUCAUCGAUAACACUGGGUGGCUUCUCCAUACGGGAGGAGAUGUGUGUGAACUAUGUACACUACUACCCUCGCUGUCAGCUCGAGGUCUGUAAGAGCUCCGUGGCGGACCACUCUCUACAUCGCUUCUUCCAGCUAGCGAACGCAACACAGAAUUCCGAUGAUGUCGCUGAGAGAUACAAAUCUGUGGACUGGACUCCCUCCAAAGUUGCGUCACUGCAGAAGCUCUACCAACACGCUCCGAUCUCUAUGCAAUGUAACACAUCGAGUGGAGUCCGAUUUCCGGUGAGGGGGUUAUAAAAUCUUGGACCAGUCGUAGUUUUCAUACUUAGUCACAUUAGAGCGUUGUUAUAAAUCGGAAUUUUUGUUUCUCCCCAGGGCUACUGGAGCACCAAAUCUGUUCCUAGAAUUCUCCUCCCACGCAAAUCCGCGAGUACUGGCUGUGUCAAAGAUAUACCCUGGGUUAUUCCAUAACAAUGUAAUAAAAUCGUUCACGUUU